UUUGUUUUUUUUUUUUUUUUGCGGUACGCGGGCCUCUCACUGUUGUGGCCUCUCCCGUUGCGGAGCACAAGCUCCGGACACGCAGGCUCAGCGGCCAUGGCUCACGGGCCCAGCCGCUCCGCGGCACGUGGGAUCUUCCCGGACCGGGGCACGAACCCAUGUCCCCUGCAUCGGCAGGCGGACUCUCAACCACUGUGCCACCAGGGAAGCCCAGUAUGUAGGUUUUUUAAAAGCCAUGUGUAAUAGUUAAUAGGUGUAGCUCAAACUACCUUUUUUCUAUUGAACAUUUUAGAAAAGCUUAGAUUAAGACAGAUCUCUAAGUGUAAAACUUUGCUUACUGCAUCUGGAUGGCAGUGGUUCCCAAACCUGGCUGCGUGGUGAAAUCACACUGAGAUAUUUUUUCAAAUACUGAUGCCCGGCUCCCAUUCCCACACAUUGUAAUUUUCUUUUUAAUUAAUUAUUUAUUUUUGGCUGCGUUGGGUCUUUGUUGCUGCGCGCGGGCUUUUCUCUAGUUACAGCGGGUGGGGGCUACUCUUCGUUGCAGUGCGCGGGCUUCUCAUUGCGGUGGCUUCUCUUGUUGCGGAGCACGGGCUCUAGGCGCGCAGGCUUCAGUAGUUAUAGCACGCAGGCUCCGUAGUUGUGGCGCACGGGCUCUAGAGCACAGGCUCAGUAGUUGUGGCGCCCAGGCUUAGCUGCUCCGUGGCAUGUGGGAUCUUCCCGGACCAGGGCUCGAACCCGUGUCCCCGGCAUUGGCAGGCGGAUUCUUAACCACUGUGCCACCAGGGAAGCCCCACGCGUUGUCAUUUAACUGGUAUGGGAUGUGACCUGCGCAACAGGAUUUUAAAAUCUUCCCAGGUGAUCUAAUGUGCAGCGAAGUUACCACAGUAUUCCAGUGAUUUCAUGUCCUACAAUCCAAAUAAUUUGCAGAUUCUGUAAAACAGUUUAGUAUCCACCUUUUACGACAGUAUCACGUCAUUAAACUCUUUUAGGCAAAAUUUUCUAAAAGUCAAGCAUACAAUGGGAUGGGAGGAAACGAUAUUCUGGGAGAAGACAACUCUGCCCUUAGUUUACAGUCUAUUUACAGUUUGGUUUUGACAUGGAGUAUUUUGCAUUAAAUACUCGUGUUUUGUUUGUACGUUCUCACUUGGGAAGUUGUAAUGUAUCAUUUAUAAGUCCCGAACCCCCAGCAUAACUGCUGAGGUGCAGUGUUAAAAAAAGAUACUUAUGGAUGCGUAAAAAGUGAAGUAGAUCCGUGUCCAGUCAGAUGCAGCAUACCUCAGAGACACUGGGGGUUCAGCUCCACACCACCAGAGCGAGUAUCGCAAUAAAGCAAGACAUGAAUUUUUGGUGUCCCAGUGCACAUAAAAGUGACGAUACUAUAGUCUACUAAGUGUGCGAUAACAUUAUGUCCCCAAAAAAGCAGUGUAUAUACCUUAAUUGAAAAUUACUUUAUUGCUAAAAAAAUCUAGCCAUCAUCUGACCCUUCAGUAAGCCAUCAUCUUUUUUGGAGGGUUUGAAAUACCGUGAGCGUUGCCAAAGACACAGACACGAAGUGAGCAAAUGCUGUUGGAAUAAGGGCGCCGAUAGACUUGCUCGACAGCAGUGUUGCCGCAGACCUUCCAUCUGUAUAAAACGAAGCAUCUGCAGAGUGCAGCACAGUAAAAGGAAGUAUGCCCAUGAGUCUUCCUGCUGCACUUGUUUUUCAGAGGUUUCUGGUGUGACGCAGGAGGCGAGUCAGUGCACUUGCAAACGGGGAAGCGUAUCUUAUUCUCAUAAGGACUGGCGGCACUGUGCACCGAGUCCGCACAGAGUAGGUUACAACUGUGGAGGACAACGAUAUAACCGAGGGACUAAAGGACAGAUGAACCACAACCACAAAGGACCUGCACUGUGAACUUGCAGUGUUGGCUGUGGAACUAAAAGUAGGGUUCCUCUUGCCUCCCAAAAAUAUGCUCUGUGAUGCCCUCCCAUAAGAUAGACCAGGGGGCUGAAAGGAUCACGGGAUGCUUUGUGCAUAAAAGCCCGAAUUUUGUUUUUGUUAUCGUUAAACAUGACUUGUUCGUAUACAGUGAUCAGAGACGCACUCUCUGAAGCAUGCCAGGUGUCAGAGGCGAGUGGCUGGUAACGAACCAGGCGCCGUUGUCCCUUACAUCCUGGCUUCACGGCCAACCCCUUACUGGAGCUGCCCCUCUCUUGUCGCUGUAUCAAUGUUGGUGGCUUCUUAUUUGCUUGGCCCUUCCUGGUACACGUGAUACCGUUGCCCACCGUUAUCUUGACCUCAGCUGUCCUGUUAACCAUGAAUAGUCCCUGGUCUCCAUUGCUGGGUUACUCUUCCUCUCCCCUAGCCCGUUGUCGUCUUUAUAUACUUGAUGCUUUUCCAUGUUUUACUCAGAGUUAAGACCACUCCCCACCCUGAAUGGUUUCCAAGCCUAUUUAUUUCAGAAAUAUUUUGAUGUCUGUCACCUCCAACUCAAAUCUAGGUGAAGGAAGGAAAAGCGGU